ACUUCUUGAGGCAAACAGAGUUACAGCAGCUGAGCUUGAGGAAUACAAGUAUCGGGAUCAAAAUGUUGGGCUUAGAGAUUUUGAGGAUAAAAGUCAGCAUUGCCUAGAGGUUGAAAGGCUGAAGCAUGCAUUGUUGAGUUCUGAAGAAGAGAUUGACAGUCUGAUGUUCUCCAAGGAAGAACUGGAAGUCAAAGUUCUUGUACUCAAAGCCAAAUUAGAUGAGCAGCAAGAUCAGAUAAUUUCAAUAGAAGGAUACAGUGAUGAACUUAUGAUGCUGAAGAAACAGUGUAAUGAACUCACCAGGAGGCUCACAGAACAGAUUUUGAAGACAGAAGAG
rnacentral:misc_RNA from 1 species